GAACCUGUCCUAUAAUCGAUAAUCCACGAUUUUAUUUACUUAUUUUUUAAAUUUGCAUAUCGCCGUAGGUUGAAUAUUUUUAUAGAAUUGAAAUGUUCAAAAUUUUUAUUGAAAGUAAAUCAGGUCAAGGUGUAGUUUAUAGAUAAGAAGAGAUGGGUUACAAUAAAAUAAAUUUAAACGGAUGAAUUUUUGUAAAAAAUUUUAAAGGUGGAUUUGAAGGUAAUUUUAGUAUAAAUUUAUAAGGUGAUUUUAGCUCUAAAAUAUGUACAUAUCGCCCGUCACUUUCAUUCUAAAAUGGAAUAAGUCGUAACAUAGUAGGGGUACUGGAAAGUGUCCCUUAGGUUCAAAUUAAAGCUUUUCCAAGCAUUUUAGUUACAUUAAAAAGAUUAUUGUAAAUUCAGUAUAGUUUGAAAAAUUAAUAUUAUUAAUAUUUUUAGUUAAGUAUUUUUUAAUUAAAAUAAUUUAAUUUUUUAUUAAUUUAAGUGAAUAAAUAUAUUUUAUUAUAGUUUAAUUGUAUUGAGAAAGAAUUGUUUUAUUUAUUUUAUAGAAAAAUUGAAUUUUUGUACCUUGUGUCUCAGGGUUAAUUAAUUAAAGUUUUUAGAUUAUUAAUUUCUCGAAUUUAAAAGAGCUAUGAAUAUAUAUUUUUUACUGUAGAAUAAGUAUUAUAAAUAUUUUCAUAGAAGUGAAAUGUUAUACGAUUUUAAAUAUAUCUAGUUUUUUAAGAAAUAAAUUUAAUUUUAUUUUUAUAAAAUUGUUAUAUUUAUUUUUUAAUAUAGUAAUUGUAAAAGUAAAUAUUCUAAGGGAUGAGCUUUAGAAUAAAUUUAUAUAAUUUUUUAUAAUAGUUUAAUAAGUAGGAUUAUAAGUUUUUAUCUUUAAAAGUGUUUUAUCACUUUUUAAAUUUGUUUUAAAAUUUUUAUGAAAAUAUUUAUAUUUUUUAUUAAAAUUUAGAUUUGAAUUAUAGUAAUUUAGUAAUAAUGAUUAAAUUAGUAUAAAAUUUUUGUUUAAAUUUAUUUUAUUUUAAGGUUUUGGAAAGGAACUCGGCAAAUAUAUUCUUCACCUGUUUAUUAAAAACAUGUCCUUUUGUGUAUAAUUUAAGGUCUGACCUGCCCAAUGAGUUUAUUAAAUGGCCGCGGUAUCUUGACCGUGCAAAGGUAGCAUAAUCAUUAGUUUUUUAAUUGAAAGCUUGUAUGAAAGGUCGAAUGAGGGAAAAGCUGUCUCUUUAAAAAUUUUUUAGAAUUUUAUUUUUAAGUGAAAAAGCUUAAAUGUUUAUUAAAGACGAGAAGACCCUAUAGAGUUUUAUAUUUUUUUUUAUUUAAGUUUUUUAGUAUUAAU
rnacentral:rRNA from 1 species